ACUCUAAUAGUUUAUAAAAAACUUUGGUCUUGCAAACCAGAGACUGAAGGCCCCAUUCCUUCUUAGAGUU
rnacentral:tRNA from 1 species